rnacentral:piRNA from 1 species
UCUGCACAGCUUUGUUGACAGGUCAGUGU